GUUGGUAGUCUCCGCCGGUCAAUUUUCGUUCCAUCUCCGCUGGUUUUUUCGUCUUAAAAAAAUCUACGAAAUAUAACCUACAGUACGAAAUUUAACCAGGGACAACUAUGACUACCGAACAAAAAAUCGGACGACGCCCUAGCCUCCCUCGCACGAAAAAAAAACCCUCCUCUCGAUCCACCCCUGGCGCUGCCCCCAUCUCUCGCUCCGCCGCCGCCGCCCCUGCUUCCCUCCCGCUCAGCCACCUCCACCGCUCCCACGUCCUCGCGUCCUCGCGCUACCGUUCUCUUCUUCUCUCCGAUCUCCUCGCCCUGCCCGACGACGCCGACUCCUCAGCGCCCCGGGCACUGGCCGACGCCCGCGAGUCCUUGGUGCCCCGCCGUUGCCGUCACAUCCGCGGCUCAUAGGGGCUAGAACUUAGUGAUCUGCUGCCUCCGUCGGACUCAUCGAUCGUGCCCUGGUUGAGGGCCCCGAAUCGUGGGAUGACGGCGCGGACCGCCGCAAGGGCUUGCGGCGUAACCCCAGGGCGUGGCGGCGUUGCGGCCAGCGAGCAGCCCCUGAAGUGCGUGCCCCCUGACCCGUGGGACGACGGAACGGAGGCAAUCGCAUAACCCAACGGCAGGGCGUGGCGGCGUUGCGGCCAGUGAGGAGCGGCGGCGUGCCCUGAAUCGAGAGGAACAGGGCAGGACCCAGUGGCCAUCUUCGGCGCCUUCAUGGACUUCGUCAGUGCUGACCUCUGCUUCAUCAUCUACGGCCACGACCCCUUUGCCGUCGGCAUCAUCUGGUACCUUGGAAUGCAAAUUAAAUGUGUUCAUGGAGUGGGGUGUAAUUGUGAUUUGUGCAAUGGCUGUCAUUCGCGUUCAGCAGGGACUGCAAGUUCUAUCGCUAUAAGCCUGACUUGCAGCGGCAACAACAGAUUCAGAUGUGGUAAGCUCAUUCAUUCAUUCUCUCAGGAGAAGAUGACCAAAUUGAUUCAAAUUUUGUGUUCUGAUCUUCAUGUUGCGAGGUUUGCGAUCGCAUGUAUGGUCGGGACUACGUGGGUCCGGCGACCAAUUGCUUGCAUCUCUUGCUGUAUGGUGAUGAUGACUGGCUCCUGUUAAAUCCAAUACGACUGCACUUCUUCGCUUCAGGAAGAAGGUAUCCCCCUUAUACGAAGAUUUCUAGCUUGCCUAUGUGUUGUAAUGUUAAUAAGUGCAUUCGGCCAAACAAUUUGUGGACCAAAUGAACUUGUUGUGGAUAUAGAAGAACAAGGCGGCACACAAGGAGCUGCCUGAAUUGCAGUGGCAGCGGUGUUGUAAUAUGAAUCAAGCUUGUGAAGAACAAUUUCGUUACUUUAAUGAUACACACUUGCAAGGUGGAUUUUCCUGCCAACUUUUUUUCAGUUACAGUGGUAGUAGCAUGGAUGUAGCGGUGGAUCCGAUUCCCCUGUUGAUUUUCUUUCUGCUAGCCUGGGCGUUUGAUUCCACUGGCCUUUUUUGCUGUUAGAUGCAGGGGUGUGUGUUUUUAGGUAGUACUUGCAUCUAAGUUACAUCAAUUUCAGUGAAAUUUCCUCUCAAAUCACAGAGUAGUGACACUGUAAUUUCAGUGUAAUUUCGAAAGUUAACCACAGUUCAAUUUUUUCUGUUACUUCUGUGUUUUUUUUUUGGGGGGAGGGGUUGCCCUAUGUUGGGUCUCCAAGCAUUCUAGAACCUUUUUCUUUUUGUGGUUUGUCUUCGUUGGGUAGUAUUUGUAUCAAUUUUAUAACCUUUUUUCUAUGUUUUCUGUAGUGUUGCAUCUAAGUUUGCAGCAGCUCCAAGAUUGUAAUCUCGUUAGUUACAGUGUAAUUUCCUCUGAGAUUACAGAGUAAUCAUAGUGUUCUUACAGUGUACUUGUAAUUGCAGUGUAAUUUGCAGGUAAGUACACUGUAAAUCCCACUACUAUGUUAUUGUAAUUACAGUGCAAUUUCUCUAUAAUUUAUAGUGUUGUUAUAGUGUAAUUUCCAUGGGUAAUCACAGUGCAUUCUUACUAGAAUAUUUCUUUUUUAUAUCUCAUUUCUUCUAUAUACAUUUUCUUUACAUUAUUCUUCCUUGUUGCAGUUUGCUUCCCUGUAACCAUUCAAAAGCAUUGGUUUUCUUAAAUCGUUUGUUGGAAGGGAAGAGCCUUUGCUUUCCUAGAUCCAGCUUUCAAUGAGCAGUCUGAAUUUCUCUUGCAGAUUAGAAUGAUGGAAAUUAAGAAUUGAUUCUAAUUUCUUAUUUGAUCCCUUUUUCAGAAUGCAAAUUAACAAUGAUGGAGAAGAAUGCUUUUUUGCUUGAGAGAGAUGUUGAACUUCUUUUUUCACACUAUGGAUAGGGCAGUGUGUAUGUUGGUUCAGUGUGUCUUCAUCUGUAGAAAAGAAAGUGUGUAUGUUGGUUCAGCUGUGUCUCUAUAAUCCGUAGAUGACACGAGGUACUAUACUUGCAAGGUUUUCUUACUGUAAUUUCAAGGUUUUUCACUGCUUGUCAUGAAUGCAAGUGUGUCCAGCC